rnacentral:piRNA from 1 species
UAGGAUGUUUUCACCAAAUCAUAGACGUA